UACGUAGGGGCGAGCGUUGUCCGGAUUAUUGGCGUAAAGAGCUCGUAGGCGGUUUGGUAAGUCGGGUGUGAAACUCCACGCUCAAUGUGGAGGGCCACUCGAUACUGCCAUGACUCGAGUCCGGUAGAGGAGUGUGGAAUUCCGGUGUAGCGGUGAAAUGCGCAGAUAUCGGGAAGACACCCGUGGCGAAGGCGGCUCUCUGGGACGGUACUGACGCUGAGACGCGAAAGCGUGGGGAGCGAACGAGG
rnacentral:rRNA from 1 species